ensembl:lincRNA 4930554C24Rik RIKEN cDNA 4930554C24 gene
AAACAGAGCACACUAACUAAAGGGCUCCGGCGUUCAAUCUCACCUUCCCCCGGUGCUUUCAAUCAGUUUCUACCACUGAAAGAUUUAAAUUCUGGCCAGUUACUGAGAGGCGGAAAAAAAUCUCUCCUGUGAAACAGUGACUGUAAAGUCUGGCUUCCACCCAAGCCACAGGAACUUUAAACAGUCUGCGGGCUCAGCGGCCACAGACAGGUUCAAACUGAGUGGGAUGAAAGCUGCUCCCAGGUUUUCAAUCUGAGGUCGCAGAAACCCUUCAAGUUUCCCCAUCUCUCUCUGAGGGUUCAUGAGGAAAAUAACACUGAGUUGUAUUGUGACCUCUGCCCAGUGAUGGGAAAAUAGUUCCAGUUAUUAUAUUGCGUUGAUGGCCGCAUACGUUCCAUCAGCUAAAGCAAAAUGAAGGUUGAGUGGGCUGUAAAGCCUGCGCUGGAGAUCAUGUCAGCACUCAGAACAGAAUUAAGAUAAUUUCAAUUUCAUUUCGGCAAAAGAGUACAUUCAUUCUGGUCUUUCAUACUUUUCCCAUGAAAAAGUUAGCAAUCUGAUUAAUGAUAUCAAGGCUUUGGAAUAAUAGGAAGAAGAGAAUGUGCCAGAAACACAUUCAUAUGAAGUUUAAACCAGCUUAAACCAUUCUCCAUAAAUAAUUAAAACAACUUCUAACAAAAGGGCACCUGUGGGGAAUCGCUAACACUGAAGCUGGAAUAAAACUCUGGAUUGUCAUAAACUAAGGAGAACGAUGAGCUUUCAGCCAAACACCAUCAGUCUGCAGCACAGGAAGGACCUAUGUGAAAAUGCUCAAAGAGAGAAACUUUACACAAGGAUAUGGGAAACCCAAUGAUAAACAAAAAUAACUUCAAACACCAGCUGCAUGGUCAUCAGUUGCACAUCACCAUCUUGCAGGCUAGUCAAGGGAAACCUUCCAUCCUUCUAUUCCUCUCUUCUUUACUCCUAUUAUUUAUGAAGUGAAGGAAAUGUAAUGGAAUUCAAACAGAAACAUACUAGUAUAUCUUUUCCACAUUUCUACCUAAAGAUAUGAUAGUAAGAAAAUAUUUUAAAUAAACUUUAUAAUACCC